rnacentral:rRNA from 1 species
CGGAACACGUACAGAACCUUCCUUUAAGCGGGGGAUAGCCCAUAGAAAUGUGGAUUAAUACCCCAUAGUAAUACCAGCUGGCAUCAGUUGGUAUUUAAAGAUUUAUCACUUAAAGAUGGCUGUGCGGCUGAUUAGGUAGUUGGUGUGGGUAACGGCCCACCAAGCCAGCGAUCAGUAACUGGUGUGAGAGCACGACCAGUCACACGGGCACUGAGACACGGGCCCG